rnacentral:rRNA from 1 species
CACGUAGGGUGCGAGCGUUGUCCGGAAUUAUUGGGCGUAAAGAGCUCGUAGGCGGUGUGUCGCGUCGGCCGUGAAACCUGCAGCUUAACUGUGGGCGUGCGGGCGAUACGGGCAGACUUGAGUACUGCAGGGAGACUGGAAUUCCUGGUGUAGCGGUGGAAUGCGCAGAUAUCAGGAGGAACACCGGUGGCGAAGGCGGGUCUCUGGGCAGUAACUGACGCUGGAGGAAGCGGAAAGCCAGGGAGCAAACGGG